ensembl:snRNA U6 U6 spliceosomal RNA
GUGCUCAUUUCAGUAGCACCUAUACUAAAAUUGGAAUGCUAUAGAGAAAUAAGCAUGGUCCCUGUAAAUGGGUAACAUGCAAAUUCUUGAAACAUUUCAUAUGUUU